rnacentral:rRNA from 1 species
UAGCGUAUAUUAAAGUUGUUGCAGUUAAAAAGCUCGUAGUUGGAUCUCGGGAGCGGUCCGGCGGUCCUCCUCACGGAGGUUUCACUGCCGCGUUGCCGCUCUCACCUCACCGGCUCUCCCCGGGUGCUCUUCGCUGAGUGCCCGAGGCGGCCGGAAUGUUUACUUUGAAAAAAUUAGAGUGUUCAAAGCAGGCGUUUCGCCUGAAUAUUGGCGCAUGGAAUAAUGGAAUAGGACCUCGGUUCUAUUUUGUUGGUUUUCGGAAGUCGAGGUAAUGAUUAGUAGGGACGAUCCGGGGGCAUUCGUAUUGCGCGGUU